UAUUGGAUUGUAUCCUGGAUAUUGUGGACUCUUUGCUGACUUACCAUCAUCUGGACCGUAUUGAUGUUUGGUGUCAACAGGCAGGCAGUCCAGUUAAAGUCAAAACAUAAGUUCUGUCAGCAGUGUCUCAGCAAACAGUGAUUCAAACCUCAUUUCUGUUCUCUAAGAGUUUGCUGUUCUGUUUUGGGUUCUCUCCUGCAGGAACACAGUUUAGGAAUUGGUCUGAGACUUACAUGGUUUUUUCUGUUUGACCGAAUUAUAUAGUAUUUUGAUUCUCUCUUGGUAUCUGAAGCAUAAUAAACCUCAAGGUUAAAUACUGAAUUUGAUUUGGGCCCAAUCUGCAUUAACCCUGUGGAAUCAAUAAAACACCACAGUCUUAACAAAAGCAGGAAACUAUACAAAUUAGCUUUAUGAGACUUUUAAAUCAGUUUUAAUUUUUAACACUUUAUAAGCUUUAUUUAAUGCCAGUUUUAAAAUACGUUGAGUUGAGCCUGUCCCACUAGUGAAAGAAAAAGGAAUGGUAUCAUUUAAACUUUAAACAAGAAGAAAUUAAAAUUUAUAUUUGAUUGAACAUAUUAAUUUCUUCUAGAAGCCUUUUAUACAGUUACAGUGAACCUUAGAGUUACAUCAGAUUUCUUCUUCGAGUGUAUACCUAAAACAAGUUUUAUUUGAAUGGUGUAAUUUUUAUUUUCAGAAACAAAAUAUGUAAUAUUUUAAAAUUUCAUUUAUCUCAUCACAAAAAUAAUCAUAGUACUUUGCUUUGAAAUUGGAUGAGUUAAAUCAGAAGAAAUGAAAUGAACUGGGUUUGUACAAAAGAGUAUGUGUCAGUUAUUUAUUUCUGUGUACCAAACCACUCCAAAACCUAGUGCAUCGACGUCAAAUCAUGUAGAUUUAUUUGUCUCUGUUUCUGUAGUCUGGAUUGUUCUGUUGGUCUAGUUCAGUACUAGUUCUGGUCUCUCCUGGGCUAUCUCACACUGCCGCGGCUGUAUGGAGACUUGACUCAACAUGGCAGCAUCUCGGUGGGAGAGUCUGGAUGGGUAAGGGGCCGGAUGAGCCUCGCUCCAUGUAGAUUCUCACUUUUCAGUGGGCCAGCACUGUCAUUUCUCUAAUUGAACACAUGUUGAGUAUCUGAUUAGCCUUGUUACCCUUAUUAUCUUGUUUAUAUGGGGAAAAAACAAGUUAUAUUACUUUAUUUUUAUUUAUAACAUCUUUUCUAGAGAAACUAGUGACCUGCCAUUUGUUUAGGAGUGUCUGAUCUUUGAAAUGGUUUAUUUGCCCUGACUUAAAAGACCAUGGAAUCAAUUGUUACAUGAUUAGUUUAAUAAUUAUUUAUAUUACUUCUUUUAAAAAACAGGCAAUUGCUGGCUACUUUGAUAUAUAUUUUGAGAAGAAUUGCCACAACAAGGUUGUGUUUUCUACGGGCCCACUGAGCACCAAAACACACUGGAGACAAACAAUAUUUCUCCUGGAGAAGCCAUUUUCAGUUAAAGCAGGUGAAGCCUUGAAGGGAAAGAUCACAGUGCACAAGAAUAAGAAAGAUCCACGUUCUCUCAUUGUGACCCUCACAUUGAACAAUACAACUCAAACUUAUGGUCUCCAGUAAAAAGGCUGCAAAAGCGCCAACUAAUUUGCAGCUUUUAUGGUCGGGAAAGGUUGGGCAGUGGUGGAGGAAGCUUAUGUGAAUACAUGGAUGUUGAAUCUUUGAAUCUGAUAAUUCAGCUAUGGAGGGAAUGAUCCUCGUGAUCCACCUCUGUAAUCACAUUUUUGAAAGUCUGGUCAAGGAGAUUUAACAAAAUGUAAUCCCUGUGUUGGGUUCAGCUGUACUGAAAGUCAUCAGAUUGGCCUAAAUUUGGAACAGAGUAUAAUGUUUUGUUGUUUUUAAUAAUUUCUUACUAUAAAUUUUAACCACUAGUAAUUGAUUGUUAUUUGGAUAAUGUUUUAUGAAACUAGUAACUGUACACAAGGUAUUACGCAUUUUGUUGAAAAUUUCCUUUUUGAGAAAUAGUUUUAAUUGUAUCUGCUAGAAUAUCAGGAUAUUACAGAGCAAGUGUAAGGGACUAAAUGUGGAAGAGACCAUAUAAGCUGUAUUUGAAGACAGCUUAGUUGAUUGUUGUAUAAUUCUGUUGUCAUUUUUUAGCUUCUUCUCUCUUUGCAAAUAUUCUUCAGUCAUAUAGUUUUCUACUACUGCCCAGGACAUCAAGUUUCAAUAAAUUUUCCCUAGAUUUCAAAAAAUUUUUUAAAGAUUGGGAUAAAUAUGUAUUUAUUUACUAAUACUUUUUUCAAACUAGAUUUAUGUACAAAGUUAAACAUGUAACUGUUAAUAUACUUUUAUCACUCUAUGCAUUUGUGUCAUUUACAAUUAUUGAUCCAGUUUGAAAUGCAGAAAACAUUCAAAUAAACGUAUACAACAACCAUUAGUAUUAUAAAGUGACAUUUCCACAUACCAAAGCCUUGUACAAAAUUAGAAGCGUUUAAAACAAGUCUUAGCAAAGCUAUCAUUUUUAAGAAAAUAGGACUUUUAAGGAGAGGUGGAUCACAUGGUUCAUUUCCAUUCAUCAGCUGGUUCAUUUUCACAAGACUCACACAAAGCAGCAUAGCAUUGUGUUGGGAAGCAUGAAUUCUGGAGCCAGUUCAAGCCUUGGCUGCAGCUCUUAUUGCUGUGUGAUCAUAGGUUCCUUAACCUCUGUCUUCCUCCAUAAAUGUGCCAAUUCAUCAGCUGAUACAUUUCAACUGAUACAGUUCAACAACUUGUAUGUGCCUGGCACAUAGAAAACACUUAGUCCAUGCUCAGUGAUAUCAUCAUCUUCAUACAGUCAAGGACCCCUUCCAAAGACUGUAGUGGCAUCUACAUUAGAUCAGUUUGAGAAUUGUCAGCCUUACAAGAUACUACCAUAGUGUGUGAGUGAGUGGGAAGAUUACCAGAGAAUUUAAUGUUUAUUUAGCAAAAAAAUGCAUCAGGAAGAAACUGCCUUUGGUCUUCAGUAGAAAACUGGACUUCCAGCAAUAGGAAAAAUAGCCCCUUCAAGCGAUGGUAUUUCAAACCUUAAUGUAAGUCUUCCUUCUUCGUAAGCAUGGUUUCUUUUUUUCACUGAGCCAAACUAGUCAGCUGGUUUUCACCAUGGAUUUUGGAUUCUGGCCACUACUGGAAAUGUGUACUGCUGCUAAUACAGCUCAAAAUACUUUACAUUUCUGUCUAGGGUGCUUCAUGUAGCAGUUUGAGUAAUGGGAUGAUGGAUCAAAAGUAAGAUUUACCGUUAAUUUUAAAAAUUUUUAAUUGCGUAUAAUUGCUUUACAACGUUGUGUUAGUUAGUUUCUGCUGUACAAGAAUGUGAAUCGGCUCUCUAUAUCUAUCUUCUCCCUCCUGAACCUCCGUUCCACCCCCCCUGUGCCCCUCCUCUGGGUCAUCACAGAGCACCGAGCUGAGCACCUGGUACUUAGACAGGAGCUUCCCACUAGCUGUCUAGUGGUCGUAUAUAUAUGUCAGAUUUACCAUAUACGAAAAUUUACCAUUUAAUUUUUAAAGUAACCAAAAAACAUGUAAUCAUUUUGUUUGUUUUUCUUUCUUACAAGUGUAAAACAAGUAUUUUUUGCUAUUUAAAAAAGUAUUUCUCAAAAAUGAUUUCUCAUUAAAAGUCUUGUUUGAUUUUCAGGGGA